UGUACCUACGGGAGGCAGCAGUGGGGAAUAUUGGGCAAUGGGCGCAAGCCUGACCCAGCAACGCCGCGUGAAGGAAGAAGGCUUUCGGGUUGUAAACUUCUUUUAUGAGGGACGAAACAAGUGACGGUACCUCAUGAAUAAGCCACGGCUAACUACGUGCCAGCAGCCGCGGUAAUACGUAGGUGGCAAGCGUUAUCCGGAUUUACUGGGUGUAAAGGGCGUGUAGGCGGGACUGCAAGUCAGAUGUGAAAAUUAU
rnacentral:rRNA from 1 species